UGACUACUGGCAGGAUCAACCAGGUAGCACUCCUCAAUCGACAUCAGCACGCAUGAGCCCUUCCGAAUCACGAAAGGGUCAACUCGUGCUAAAUUGUCGUCCGUGCUUAGCGUUAAACGCUACAUUGGGUGUGCAACGCAUUCACGUCCACUCCCACUCAACAUUCCGUAUCCCAGGGCACAACCAAGGACCAUUACCCUUUCUGAAGUGCUUAAUUUAGCAUAAUCAGUGGCUAACAGACUUGAUUUUUAAGUUCACCAGACACCCCGCUAAGGAUGUAGGGCGAAGAAUAUAACUUCAAGGCAACCAAUACCAUCAAUAGGAAUUCAACACAGGAAACCACAUAUUGCCCAAGGCUUAAUUACACAUGAGCAAACAAUGAAGAGGUAUGCUAGUGAACGGUUCAGUGCAAAAGCAAAGAGCCCGCCAACCACACAAACCAAAUACCACUCAUACGGCUUCCCGA
rnacentral:misc_RNA from 1 species